GUAGUGGUGGAUAACCUGCCGAAACCCAGUUUAAUCCCGCAUACGUCGUACGGGAGAAAGGGGGCUUCGGCUCCCGCUAUCGGAUGAGCCUAUGUCGGAUUAGCUAGUUGGUGAGGUAACGGCUCACCAAGGCCACGAUCCGUAGCUGGUCUGAGAGGAUGAUCAGCCACAUCGGGACUGAGACACGGCCCGAACUCCUACGGGAGGCAGCAGUGGGGAAUAUUGGACAAUGGGGGGAACCCUGAUCCAGCCAUGCCGCGUGUGUGAAGAAGGCCCUCGGGUUGUAAAGCACUUUCAGCGAGGAAGAACGCCUAGCGGUUAAUACCCGCUAGGAAAGACAUCACUCGCAGAAGAAGCACCGGCUAACUCCGUGCCAGCAGCCGCGGUAAUACGGAGGGUGCAAGCGUUAAUCGGAAUUACUGGGCGUAAAGCGCGCGUAGGUGGCUUGAUAAGCCGGUUGUGAAAGCCCCGGGCUCAACCUGGGAACGGCAUCCGGAACUGUCAAGCUAGAGUGCAGGAGAGGAAGGUAGAAUUCCCGGUGUAGCGGUGAAAUGCGUAGAGAUCGGGAGGAAUACCAGUGGCGAAGGCGGCCUUCUGGACUGACACUGACACUGAGGUGCGAAAGCGUGGGUAGCAAACAGGAUUAGAUACCCUGGUAGUCCACGCCGUAAACGAUGUCGACCAGCCGUUGGGUGCCUAGCGCACUUUGUGGCGAAGUUA
rnacentral:rRNA from 1 species